rnacentral:rRNA from 1 species
UUAGUUACCGGCACGUAAUGGUGGGCACUCUAAGGAGACUGCCGGUGACAAACCGGAGGAAGGUGGGGAUGACGUCAAGUCAUCCAUGGCCCUUACGGCCAGGGCUACACACGUGCUACAAUGGUCGGUACAAAGGGUUGCCAAGCCGCGAGGUGGAGCUAAUCCCAUAAAACCGAUCGUAGUCCGGAUCGCAGUCUGCAACUCGACUGCGUGAAGUCGGAAUCGCUAGUAAUCGUGAAUCAGAAUGUCACGGUGAAUACGUUCCCGGGCCUU